CUAAAGGCCCUUUUAAGGGCCCCCAGGACGUCAAGAAAAGAGCGA
rfam:Felis catus isolate Cinnamon breed Abyssinian chromosome B4, whole genome shotgun sequence.